rnacentral:lncRNA from 1 species
GAGUAUUCAUGGUUAGAGUCUCAGUCUCUAUUACGGGCCCUAGUACACUUCAGGAACUCAAAAGCUUUGCUGAUAUAAUGCAAGGUGAUAAAAAAGUAGAAAGACUUGGGAUAAUCUUGAUUUCUGAAGGCAUCAAACGGGAAUUAGAGAAAGCAGCAGGAAAAACGAAGGCCUUUUUAAGUUCCAUGAGAACUACGGUUUGCAAGACUGGUCAAAACAGUACAAUGCAAGCGGCAAGAAUCAGGAAGUGCACAGAAACAAGAAGCUCGGUGCACACUGGGAUCAGGCAAGCAUCUGGGAGAAGACUGUAGCAAGACUGGAUCCUGAGAAAUAUACAGAGUUCAGAGGCUCCAUGGCUACACUUUGGGCAUGUAUGUCAUUACAGGAAUGAAAAAAAGAUGAUGGCCAAAUGCUGUAUUAAAAUCCCAUUAGAAAUGCCGGGAGAAAUUUAUGGCCCCAAUCUCUUUUAUCUGACAGCAGUUCCCAUGUGAUCCAUCAGGCUCUGAACAUGAAUUUUAAUGGGCUCAGAACCACUUCUCUACCCUGAGGUCACAGGCUGUCAGAGUGAAUCUUCCACAAACUGAUUGGAACCUGAAGAAUUUGCUCUGUCAAGAGAGGAAAAAAGGCAUAAACCUUAGGUGGUAUGGAGAAUGAGGAAAGGGGAGGAGAAGGAGAAAUCCAAAAGAUAGGUGGAAAACCAUGGGAGCAAAUCAAGGCAGGAAAUCAGAGAAAUCAAAGCCAGAGAGCAUCUCAGGAAGAGCUGAUGGCUACCAGCACUGAAUACCACAGAGAUUAUUACAUCGCAAGACAAUGCAUCGCUCCAGCAAGGAUAACAAAGCGAAUGGGAAGGAAAGGGUUAUGAAGAGUUCAUGGAAGGCACCUUAGGCAGACUACUUUUAGGAAAGAGUGGAUGUGGAAGCUAAGUAUCUGGAAAUUGAUUUCCUUAGAACAGUUUGUGUUUGCAUGUCUUCUGAAAGGUUUUAUGUACUCCCAAGAGUAAGUAUACCUGUUUGAAGAAGCUGCUCAAUAUAGUUCUUAAAAUAGUCUACAAACAUGUUACCCCAGCAUAGUAAGAAAUAGGAGUACAGCCAGAAAUGAGAGUGGGAAUGAUUAGAGAGACCUCUUUGAGGCCUUGGUCGUGGGCAGGAGCACAGUGGGCCGGGCUCUUUCUAGAUGUGCUUUAAUCAUCAGGAAUUCUGAUACAAUUAUAUUUUGACUAUGAUAUAUAAGCUUCAUUUGAUUACUGUUGCCAAAUAUUUUUUGCUCUUCACGAAGUAAACCUCUUUUUAAAACUUUUUAACUGGCAAAUAAUAAUUGCAUCUAUUUAGGGAGUACAUUGUGAUGUUUUGAUACAUGAUUACAUUGUGGAAUGAUUUAAUCAAUCUACUUAAAUUUAGUGAAAAUAACUUAAGCUAUUAAUCUCAGCCUUGGUGGCUUCUCCUAAUUUAUGCUUACACAAGAGGCUAUCUUCAUUGUGAAAUGUCACAGACUCUCACAAGCAAGAGAAGAAAAUGUAGAGAAGCCCCUCAAAUAAAAUGCAUUAGGUUAAUUCAUACCGACAAAUGUGACACACUUAAAAUUGUUCCUAACAUCAGUUCAUGAUUUAUUUCAAAAGUUCUUAAUAUUCAAAAAUGCUCAAUAAUUUAAAGUAUUUCAAUGUAUAUAGCAAAUAAACCCUGCUAUUAAAACAAAAGAAUCAGGUUCAUUUCAGAAGAGUGAAAACUAGCAAGAUCUUACUGUAAAUCAACUGUUUGUUUUCAAUUAUUUGGCAUGAGAUCUUACAUAUUUUUAACCCAUGUUUUAAUUCUCGUAGAUACCCUGUUGCAAAAGUUCUGAAACAUUGUGAGAAAAAGUGUUUUUGUAGCACUUUGGCAAUGGGAGCCUCACUUCACUCUGUUAUGUAAUGUCCCAUCCAGUUUUUAGUUAAACCUGGAAACACCUUUGUCCUUAGGUGAAGCAGCAAGUCUUGCUUAAGCAAAGCUGGUGAAAUCAGAGCCUGGUCCAAGGCUCAGAAGCGUUUGCGGGGAAAAGCAAACACUUUUUGUGGGAGAAGGAAACAAAGGAGAAGAGAGGAGGAGGAAGAAAUUGAAAAAGAAGGGGAAGAGAAGAGGAAAAGAAAAAGAGACGUUGAGAGAAAGAAAAACAGAGAGCUGUGUGUGAUUGGAUGCCAUGACUCCUCAGUCUUAGUGCUAAUGCCGUUGUUACCUAACUCUAUUUAGGGAACUUUCCAGAACAAAGCGAAGCUUUGUGGGCCUGGCUUUCAGAACUUAUGCAACAAUUGUUUUGGGAGCAGACUGAAAAUUUUACAAGAGAACUGAGUUUUCAAGAGACUGACGGUGUGACCAAAAGAUCAAAGGUUUGGUGCAGUGGGACUAAGUUUCAGGCAGCCUUUCAAAUUGUGAAGACUUUCCUCCCUGUUAUGGCAGUUAAGACAUGUGAAAAUGGUAGUUCGAGACACUUAUAAGCAACUUUCUUCUUAGUUCACAAUGUUCCAUGAAUGUCAGUGCCCUCCAAACUCACGAGAACAAAGCAGGCAACCAGGAUGAUUACUCCCAAAUCAUUGAUAAAAGGAGAGAGAAGUACAGAGAUACACAGUGAUUUGUGUGGGUUGCCAAAAAGUUGCACGGAGGAAACACAGAUAAAUUAAAUACUGGUUAGCAAUCUUUAAUAACCAGGAGAUGCUUAACAUUUAUUUAGAAAUCUGCAACAUUUUAUAAAUCAUUGUUUUGGCUUCUGGGACAAACUCAGAAUCUGGAACCCACGGAAACCCUUCAGUUACACAAAGGCUUUCCAGUUCAUUGCUACUGCACUGAAGAACAGUCUUCACAACUAUACCUGGAACUUACUAGGCCAAGAAGGCAAGGCGUUGGAAAGAGGCACUCUGAAUUCAAAGGCUGUUUGAAUGAACUGACUGCUUCAGCACUGUCUUGUAGAUAUAGUCCAUUCAAAUAAAAGACAAAUAUCUGACUGAAUUUUGUUAGCACGUUAAGACAUGUAUUAUAAAAAGGUUUAAGAAGAAAAUAAUGGCCACAAUUCUUCAGAAAACAUGUGAACUAAUGUGACAAAACACUGUGGUGUUGCAAACUCAAGUGCUGCUCUGGCCAAGUCACCUCGCUGAAAUCUCCACUUCCACUUGUGCAACCUACCAAGCCACUCUCUACACAGCUGCCAGAGUGAUUACAAAAACAACGCGGGAUUAUGCUACCCCUGCUUAUCUAAAAUUUGUCAAAAUGCCCGUUACACUUUGAAUAAAAUACAGAUUCCUCUCAGAUCUCAUUUCUUAUCAUGUCUUUCUCAAUCAUUAUGUUCCAGCCUCACUGACCUUCUUUCUGUUCCUGUAAAAUAUUCCUGCCUCAAGGGCGCAGGCCUACGACCUGCAGUUCUCUUUUUCCCACAUGUGACCAGGCUCUCUCUUAGCCAUCAGGUCUCAAAUAAGCUCUUUCCGUUCUGUCUAGGCAUCUUAUCAAAAUCAACCUGUGUAUUAUUAUUCAUUUAUCACAUAAUCUUGUUUUAUUUUCCUCAUAGCACUCUCACUUUCUGAAAUUAU